rnacentral:rRNA from 1 species
ACUCCUACGGGAGGCAGCAGUAGGGAAUUUUCGGCAAUGGGGGAAACCCUGACCGAGCAAUGCCGCGUGAGUGAUGAAGGCCUUCGGGUUGUAAAGCUCUGUCUUCGGGGACGAUAAUGACGGUACCCGAGGAGGAAGCCACGGCUAACUACGUGCCAGCAGCCGCGGUAAU